rnacentral:rRNA from 1 species
AUUCCAGCUCCAAUGGCGUAUAUUAAAGUUGUUGCAGUUAAAAAGCUCGUAGUUGGAUUUCUGGCAGGAGCGACCGGUCGGCCCAUUGUGGUGUGUACUAGUGUUGCAUCUGGCCAUAUUUGUGGAGAGCGUGUGUGGUAUUAAUUUGUCGUGCUCGGGACCCGCAUCGUUUACUGUGAGAAAAUUAGAGUGUUCAAAGCAGGCUUAUGCCUUGGAUAUGUUAGCAUGGAAUAAUAAGAUAAGACUUUGGCGGUCUAUUUUGUUGGUUUGCACGCCAUUGUAAUGAUUGAUAGGGACAGUUGGGGGUAUUCAUAUUUAAUUGUCAGAGGUGAAAUUCUUGGAUUUAUGAAAGAUGAACUACUGCGAAAGCAUUUACCAAGGAUGUUUUCAUCA